AAUAAACGCUGGCGGCGUGCAUUAUGCAUGCAAGUCGAACGGUCUUGAUUUUAUCAAGAUAGUGGCGAACGGGUGAGUAACACGUAAGUAACCUGCCCCUAAGUGGGGAAUAACCUCGGGAAACCGAGGCUAAUACCGCAUGUAGUGGUGGAGGUAAGGCUUCACCACCAAAGCCUUCGGGCGCUUGGGGAGGGGCUUGCGGCUGAUUAGCUAGUUGGUAGGGUAACGGCUUACCAAGGUGAUGAUCGGUAGCUGGUCUGAGAGGAUGGUCAGCCACACUGGGACUAAGACACGGCCCAGACUCCUACGGGAGGCAGCAGCAAGGAAUUUUGUGCAAUGGGCGAAAGCCUGACACAGCAACGCCGCGUGGGGGAUGAAUGCCUUCGGGUUGUAAACCCCUUUUCUUGGGGAAGAAUAAUGACGGUACCUGAGGAAUAAGCCUUGGCUAACUACGUGCCAGCAGCCGCGGUAAUACGUAGAAGGCGAGCGUUAUUCGGAUUUACUGGGCGUAAAGAGGGCGUAGGCGGCCUUUCAAGUCGGAUGUGAAAUCUCUCGGCUUAACCGAGAGGGGUCAUCCGAUACUGUUGGGCUAGAGGGCAGCAAGAGGAGGUGGAAUUCCCGGUGUAGUGGUGAUAUGCGUAGAUAUCGGGAGGAACACCAGUGGCGAAGGCGGCCUCCUGGGCUGUUUCUGACGCCGAGGCCCGAAAGUGUGGGGAGCGAACAGGAUUAGAUACCCUGGUAGUCCACACCGUAAACGAUGGAUACUAGGUAUAGGGAGUAUCGACCCUCUCUGUGCCGAAGCUAACGCUUUAAGUAUCCCGCCUGGGGAGUACGGCCGCAAGGCUA
rnacentral:rRNA from 1 species